UUAAACGUCUCGAGUGAUUCAUUAUUUUUGUCAAAAAAUGCCGUCUUGUGUUAUUAAACAUUGUAAGAGUUGUUCCCAAAAACAAAAAAAAAGAGGAUGGAAUUUCAUUUCACAGAUUUCGGCGAAAUGUUUUUCCCUUCAAUUGGGGAAACUACCUGAUGGUCUCGGCGUUAGUGAGACUGACUUUUAAAUGUACGUACGUGUAUUCGAUUCCCACACGUAAUAUCACGCCUAAAUAGUUAUUCCGAAUUUAGAUGUAUUUUUAUCUGUUAUUACCAUUUACUGUGAUUCGGUCAUUAAUAUCUAAUGCAGGAG
rnacentral:misc_RNA from 1 species